rnacentral:rRNA from 1 species
UCUCACACUGGCCGCUCGUGUUACAGCCUAACACAUGCAAGUCGAGCGGAUGACGGGAGCUUGCUCCUUGAUCAGCGGCGGACGGGUGAGUAAUGCCUAGGAAUCUGCCUGGUAGUGGGGGACAACGUUCGAAAGGAACGCUAAUACCGCAUACGUCCUACGGGAGAAAGCAGGGGACCUUCGGGCUUUGCGCUAUCAGAUAGAGCCUAGGUCGGAUUAGCUAGUUGGUGAGGUAAUGGCUCACCAAGGCGACGAUCCGUAACUGGUCUGAGAGGAUGAUCAGUCACACUGGAACUGAGACACGGUCCAGACUCCUACGGGAGGCAGCAGUGGGGAAUAUUGGACAAUGGGCGAAAGCCUGAUCCAGCCAUGCCGCGUGUGUGAAGAAGGUCUUCGGAUUGUAAAGCACUUUAAGUUGGGAGGAAGGGCAGUAAGUUAAUACCUUGCUGUUUUGACGUUACCGACAGAAUAAGCACCGGCUAACUCUGUGCCAGCAGCCGCGGUAAAUACAGAGGGUGCAAGCGUAAUUCGGAAAUNUAACUGGGCGUAAAACAGCGCGNU